rnacentral:tRNA from 1 species
CAUAGCUCAGUGGAAGAGCAGUGGCCUUCUAAGCCAAAGGUCGUAGGUUCGAUCCCUACUG